rnacentral:rRNA from 1 species
AAUCAACGCUGGCGGCGUGCCUCAGACAUGCAAGUCGAACGAGAAAGUUUCCUUCGGGGAAUGAGUAAAGUGGCGCACGGGUGAGUAACACGUAGGUAAUCUACCUUCGGGUGGGGGAAGUAACCCAGGGAAACUUGGGCUAACACCGCAUAAUGCAGCGGCACCACAUGGUGACAGUUGUUAAAGCGGGGGAUUUUAGGACCUCGCGCCUGAAGAGGAGCCUGCGGCGGAUUAGCAGUUGGUAAGGUAACGGCUUACCAAGGCGACGAUCCGUAACCGGCCUGAGAGGGGCGGGUCGGUCACACUGACACUGACAUACGGGUCAGACUCCUACGGGAGGC